UACGUAGGGUGCAAGCGUUGUCCGGAAUUAUUGGGCGUAAAGAGCUCGUAGGCGGUUUGUCGCGUCUGCUGUGAAAACGCGAGGCUCAACCUCGCGCCUGCAGUGGGUACGGGCAGACUAGAGUGCGGUAGGGGAGAUUGGAAUUCCUGGUGUAGCGGUGGAAUGCGCAGAUAUCAGGAGGAACACCGGUGGCGAAGGCGGGUCUCUGGGCCGACACUGACGCUGAGGAGCGAAAGCGUGGGGAGCGAACAGG
rnacentral:rRNA from 1 species